UUUGAUUUAUUUUAAAUUUAAAACAACCCUAAAAAUACAAAAGUUUUCCCUCGUUCAAACUCAAAAUAAGGAACUGAUUCACGUCAUCUCGCAAGAAUGAAUGAUCUGAAGAAAAUACGGCGACUGAUUGUCUCUCCAUCUGCUUCCUUCGAGCCCACAGGUUUUUCCCCCUACCUGUAAUCGGCAAUUCAUACGUUGUCCCAUUUGUAAGCUUCUGCAAGUGAUUUGUACUGAAAAAAGGUCCGCAGAUGCAGUCAGCAAGGAAACCUCCGACAGAGCUUCCAACAAUGGAGCCGCAAAAUGGAGAAACUAUGCCACUUUCGGGCAAACCCUACCAUGCUUUUAUUCUUUCUAAAUCGCAUGUUGCUCCCAUAUAUAAUUUGGUUUUACCGGCUAAAUUUCAUUCUAUUUUACCUGCUAUUGUCAUCCCUGCUGUUCUUUUAUGUCGAGGCAAGAAAUGGAAGAUAGAUUAUCAUGGAAACCGACGUGGUAAGGCACUCGAUUCAAAACAGUGGAGGAAAUUUGUUAAUGAUAAUUGUCUCAAAUCUGGAGAUGCUAUUGUAUUUGAGCUCUUGGAGUGCAGCAGCAGCAUACUUAAAUUUAGAGUUCAAAUUCUCAGUGGUGACAUACCUUUGGAGCUGCACGACAAGUUUAGUGGGGAGACAAAAGAGACUCCCAUACACCUUGACUAGCUUCCCUUUCAGUGGUUUCGUAGUUUUCUCAAAAGUCCUGACUUGUUGACAUCAUAUUGCGGCUCUAGAAUCAGACAGCCUAUUUGAUAAUUUAUGCAGUAGUUCUUUAACCAAGAUGGUUCUGGUGCUGCAAUGAAGUUGUGCUUCCUCAUGAGACGUGCAAUGCAUUAUGUUAUUUGUGUUCUUAUGCCAAAUGCACCAGGGUAUAUAGUUAACAUGUAGAUCCAUUUUUCAUUGUCAUGACCCACACAUCUUCAUAUUGUUGUUAAAUCUUGAAUCUCAAUCUGCUUUCCACUUUGUAUUUCUUCAACCUUCUGCUCUGAAAUCUAGAUUGCAUAAAUUGUCCCAACGUCAUCAUCGUUUUGCAUUGAUACAGCCAUUGUUUGGCAAUUGUUUCUAUUUUGAUGUGAGAACUUUCAGAAAUCUAGAUUGUCCACCGAUGCACGGUGACCUUUGUGUGUAGACAUUUUCUUUGAUGUGAUAAUGGUCAAGCCAUACAAUAUCACACCGAUUCCUUCAAUAAAAUCGUUUUUAUAUAAUGUGUUUA